UCUACCUCUUUCAUGUGACGAAUACUUUCGAAAAAGUACUUGUCGUUGAACAGUUCUUGAAACUUCUCCCAAGACAUCUUCAAUGCGGCAGGUUGGGUACGCUUUACAGAUUUCCACUAGUAAUCUGUCUCUGCCCACAAUAUGAAGGUGGCGAAGGAAACCUUUUGCUCCUUGGAGCAACCCAAGACAUCAAAUAUCUUGUUGAUCUAUUUUAUCCACGUCUCCGCCUUAAGUGGUUUUGGC
rnacentral:lncRNA from 1 species